rnacentral:rRNA from 1 species
UGGGGAAUAUUGGGCAAUGGGCGAAAGCCUGACCCAGCAACGCCGCGUGAGUGAUGAAGGCCUUCGGGUUGUAAAACUCUUUGGACAGGGACGAAGAAAGUGACGGUACCUGUAGAACAAGCCACGGCUAACUACGUGCCAGCAGCCGCGGUAAUACGUAGGUGGCGAGCGUUAUCCGGAUUUACUGGGUGUAAAGGGAGCGUAGGCGGCAGUACAAGUCGGGAGUGAAAACUCGGGGCUCAACCCCGAGACUGCUCUCGAAACUGUACAGCUAGAGUGCAGGAAGGGCAGGCGGAAUUCCUGGUGUAGCGAUGAAAUGCGUAGAUAUCAGGAGGAACACCGGUGGCGAAGGCGGCCUGCUGGACUGUAACUGACGCUGAGGCUCGAAAGCGUGGGGAGCGAACAGG